CGUGGUUAAAUACAACGUUAACACAGCAUUAUUAAGAUACACAGUUAUUUAACUGUAAUCAAUCAAGUACAGCUCAUUUAAGCACUUUGAAUAUUUUUAUAUAGCUUUUUUUUUUAAAGUCACAUAAUAACAUCAUUACAUACACUUAAACUUUAAACUUUUUAAAGAAUUAAAACGAAACCAUACGUUACUAACCGCUAGAACAAAUAAAUUAGGCAAAGGUAGCACAGAAUUAUAGGCGUUCCCCGCAACGAGUCAAAACCGAUGUGCGCAUGCUCAGUAGGACAAAUCGAUGGGUAGGAUAAAUCGACAGAACACCGGCACAGAGCAGCUGUUAACGUUACCUUGAAAUCUUCAGUGAAGAACUGAAAAAGAUAACGGUUUUUUAUUUAAACUCUACUACAUGCACGAGGAGCUCCUCACACUUGCCUUCAGUUCACAUCUGUGCUGAGGUUGCAUGGUCCAGGUUUUCAAGAAUGAGUUCACUACGGAUGAGCUGCGCACGUCUCCAGUGAAUUUUGAAUUUUACAUGGUGAUCAGCUGCAUCCUAUUAUCAUCAGCUUUCCUGCUACUGCCAUGGGGAUUACUCUUAAAGUUUCAAACUAAGUAUGAUAUAGUUGUGUUCAUUGAACUAAGAGUUUAUAGCAAACAAUUAUAUUGUGCCCAUAUCAAUAUAUAAAUACAUAUGUGUACUUUGUAGCUGUACACUUUUAAAGAUUAUGGCUUACAAAUUAAACUGUCCAUCAUUAUCAAUUACCAGAUAUUAUUUUCCAACAAGAGAGCCACUGUUGGCUGAACCUUUUUUUUUUGAUAGACUAGUAUUCUGAACCUAUAUACCUAUAUAAUAUUCUCUCUCCUUCCACCAUGUCAAAAACUGUAUAUAAACAGUAAAUUCCGAUGUCGACAGUGUGUAUGUAUGUAGUGUGUGUUGGGGCAACAAAUAUGUGAAAAUGCCCAGCAGUGCGUCCUCAGAAGCAAGAUAAGUAAGCAUGUUAAUUAAAUUUAAUUGAGUUGGGUUUAUUUAUUCAUAAUACAUAAACAAUUUUGUUUUUGCACACAUUAAACUUAUGGUGUCAAAAUAUAUAAUGCAUGUCCUAUAAUAAAAUAAUUUAUCCAUA